CUCAUCGUGUUCAGCUUAUUCUGUGGAGAGAGAGAGAGAGAGAGAGAGAGAGAGAGAGAGAGAGAGAGAGAGAGAGAGAGAGAGAGAGAGAGAGACUAUACGCUUGCUACCAUGGAGAACGACUACCCGCAUCUGGAACCCUCUCUUUUACCUGACGCUUUACCGGACAUCAAUUACCUCUGCCAAAGCUAUCUGCCAGACUGCCACCAAAGCAAUCCUGAGAACUUUGGCUACCACGACACUGCACGACUCUCAUCACCACUGCCACCAUCAUGCAACUACGCUCAGGAGGUUAACUUCGACCCCGGUGCUUCAUGUCUCCCUACACCUGGGCAGCCGUGGGAAAUCACAAACUUUCAUCCAGCCUAUGAUAAAACCAAUCAUCAGGUCCCCACCCCCGUAACUGCCAGCACCACUACCAGCAACGAGUGGGAAAUGUUCACGCAAACACAAUUCAUCUGUGGGGAAGAUGAAACAGGAGGAGGAAGAGGAGCAUUGAGAGGAGAGGAAAUGGAAGAAGAUACGCAGUUUUUCCCACAAGAUGAUUUAUUUUCAUGUGCAAACUCUUCCUCUUCGUCAUCCGGUACUUUCUCAUCCCAUUACUUUCCUAAGAAGGAGAAAGAGAAGAUGGAACUGAACGAUGUAUUGAAGAGCUUAACAGAAACAGAUCUGUAUGAGCAGUAUAUGCCUUUCA